GAUAACAACGGGGAAGUGGUCGUGGUGAUACGUGGGGGGCAAGCGUUAAUCGGAAUGACUGGGCGGAAAGCGUGCGCAGGCGGUGAUGUAAGACAGGUGUGAAAUCCCCGGGCUUAACCUGGGAACUGCAUUUGUGACUGCAUCGCUGGAGUGCGGCAGAGGGGGAUGGAAUUCCGCGUGUAGCAGUGAAAUGCGUAGAUAUGCGGAGGAACACCGAUGGCGAAGGCAAUCCCCUGGGCCUGCACUGACGCUCAUGCACGAAAGCGUGGGGAGCAAACAGGAUUAGAUACCCCAGUAGUC
rnacentral:rRNA from 1 species